ACCCGGGUGAAUGGGCGGCUUUGUGUGCGAGGCAUGAAUGAGGGCCUUUGUGAGGGCCGGCGUGGGGGGGCGGCUGGAGGCCGGAAUGCCUGGGUCCCCCGGGAGCCGGCGGGCAUGAGAGAAGGGAGAGAGAAUUCACUUUUGUCGAACGCCGACCGUGUACCAGGCACUCUCCCGGGCUCUCACCCAUCUGGAGAUGGGAAAACCGAGGCUCAGGCGAGGUAGGCAACUUCCCAAGGUCACAAGGUGAAGGCUCCACUGAACCCUGAGGUGGUGCCCACGCCAGCAGCUAGCGUGUUGCUGAUGAGCCCUGCACUACUGGUCCCAUUUUACAAGCGUCUGCUGAGUCUCCAGGCAGGGAAAGGAACAAGAGAGAGAGGACAUCUGGAACAAGGAAAGAAGCCAGAGAGAGGGAAAAGUUGAGAGGAAAGGCAUGGAGAAUGAUGAGACAGAAGAUGAGAGCUGGAGUUGGACCAAGGGCAUACACAGGUGAGGGCAUCCAACCCCCAACGCAUGUGGUCAGCAAUUGCAAAGAAUGAUGGUAUCAGGAAGUGGACAGUGAUUAAGUCAUGAAGAUGGAGCCCUCAGGAUUUCAAUUAAUGCCCUUAUAAAAGAGCCCCCUACCCCCACACCAUGUAUAGAUUCAACGAGAAGCCUGUGACCCUAAAGAAGGCCCUCACACGACCAUCCUGGCACACUGAACUCCGACUUUCAGCCUCCAGAACCGUGAGAAAUGAAUGUCAGCUGUUUAUAAGCUACCUGUCUACGGCAUUUUGUUACAGCAGCUGAACAGACUAAGAUGAUUAUCACGACAGGCCGGGAGUGCUGCUGGGUUGAGCCCAGGGAUGCUGUUCAACAUCCUACAGCGCAUGGGACAGCCUCGCAACAAGGACUCAUCAGCCCCAAUGUCAGUAGCACGGAGGCUGAGAAACCCCGCCCUGGAGCCUCACUCCUUAUUGCAUGGAUAACGUGCAUGGAUAAUACAGUCUCCAUGAAAGCGACAGCUACAAAGCCAGCCUGACAGGGGCACGGGUAUCAAGUCAAAAACCAUGAGCUGCUUUGCUGUCAGACCCGGGAUUUUUUUUCCCCAAAUGGUGAUCAACUCCUGCUGACGUUCCUAGUACCAUGGAGCGAAACCUCACAAUUUACACGCCAGCCACACCCCGGAACAGUGGGUGUAAACUCAGACUGGGCAACGAGUAUUUCAUGUUUGUGUGUAAAACAGAGUUAAGUUCCAGGCUCAGAUCAUUAUAAACAGGUUUUCCAUCUGCCCACAUUCUCUUCUCUUUCGCUCCCAAGAGGCUAAUGCUCCCUGCCCAAGGCUACAUAGCCAGGAUUCUAACCCUCCACUCUUAUCUUCAAAAAACAAAUCUUGGUUACUCCAUUCCUGCGUGUACUCAUUUUUACAUGCAUUCCUCCAUUCAUCAUUCAUCCAAUAAAUACGUACUCUGGGCAUCUACUGUGUGCUAGGCGCUGGGGGUACA